GACGAACGCUGGCGGCGUGCUUAACACAUGCAAGUCGAACGGAGUGGCGAACGGGUGAGUAACACGUAGGUGAUCUGCCUUUCACUUCGGGAUAAGCUUGGGAAACUGGUUCUAAUACCGGAUAUUGCAAGCUGGGCUCGCGGCCUAUCAGCUUGUUGGGGGGGUAAUGGCCUACCAGGGCGUCGACGGGUAGCCGGCCUGGGAGGGGGUACGGCCCCAUGUGGCCUACGGUACGGCGCAGAAGGCUACGGGAGGCAGCAGGGGGGAAUAUGGCACAAUGGGGGGGAGCGUGAGGAAGCGGCUCCGGGUGGGGGAUGAUGGCCUUCGGGUGGUAAACUCCUUUCGACAGGGACGCGGUACCUGUAUAAGAAGCAACGGCUAACUACGUGCCAGCAGCCGCGGUAAUUC
rnacentral:rRNA from 1 species